AAAAACUUUGUGGUAAUGUCAUAAGCACUUAAUUUUUUCUCGAAAGUGAUGUCAUCAACACCAAUUUCAUGAGUAUACGACAGAAGAUUCGUAUCUUCUAGGAGAUCAGCUACAAAGUCAGACCCAACACGCGAUUUAUAUAAUUUGAAUUUCAUAGGAGGUUCAAAUUUUGGUGGAUCUAUAACUGCACGAAACCUAUCCCUUAAAAUUAUACCAAAUUGUCCUCUUCCGGUGUAUACCAAUGUAACCCAAGCCUCGAUACGGUUGAUAUUGUAAAAAUCUUUUAAAGCAUACCAGCCAUGCGUUAGAUA
rnacentral:lncRNA from 1 species